AUUUGUAAAUCUUACAUCUGAUUGGCUCAUAGCUUGGAUCACGUGGUUCAAGCCCACCCAUAGAUGAAGUAUUCAUUUUUUAAACGUUUGGUAAAGUUUCCUUUAGAAUCCAGGAAGCUAGAGCGCCAUCAGUUAUUUCCUAUUUUUUUCCGACAAUAAGAAUUUUGGACCUAAUUAACAAUAAACAAUGAAAAAAAUAUUCACGAUGUAAUAAUAGAAUGUAACAUGUAAUGUAACACUGAAUCGACCGUUGCAAGAUAGGUCGGUUUUACCUAAUUAACAAAUAACAAUGGAAAGUUAUUCAUGAUGUUAUAAUUGAUAAAUCUUACAUGUGAUUGGCUCAAAGCUUGGAUCACGUGGUUGACAGGAUAAGCCUAAUACAAUAUUGAAUUUUGGAGAAUUUUCCUCGAAAAACAAGAGAUAUGGCAUCAUGAAUAAUUUUCCUAUUGUUUUUUGAUAAUAUAGGGCGAAUAUAGGUAAGAUAGGUCGGUUUUACCUAAUUAACAAAUAACAAUGGAAAGUUAUUCAUGAUGUAAUAAUUUGUAAAUCUUACAUCUGAUUGGCUCAUAGCUUGGAUCACGUGGUUGACAGGAUAAGCCUAAUACAAUAUUAAAUUUUGGAGAAUUUCCCUAGAAUAUCAAGGGAGAUAUGGCAUCAUAAA